UACAUCUUCUCUUAUGCGAUUAGCUGCAAAAAUUUUGUUGGAACUAUGUAAAUUGGAUAAUGAAUGCUCCAAACAAAAAGAUAUGGAUGAGUAUGUACAUCCAACCAAAGUAUUUUGACCUCAUGAUUAAAGCAGCCUUGAAAUGUAGUAAGCAAAAUAUAGAUGAAGAGGAUCUCAAAUCCCCCAGCAAUGCAAUCAAAAUCUGAUAUGACUUAAAGAGGAUGGCGUCAUCAAAGUUAGCAAAAAGCCUUAUGGAUGGAGAUCUUGUAAAGAAAGAACAAGCAGAAAACUUCUUAAAAUUAAUGGACUUGCAAUGGAGUUUACUUAAACUAAAUUAGCACGGGUUACACUUACAGAAAGGAUGUUCAAUACAAGGAAAUCCCUUCCUCUUGCUGAAGAUGUGAAUAAACUGUCACAGUUUCUGAAGACCUCCAUAAUCAAUUUAGAUCUGUCCAAAACAGAGUAUGAGAGCUACCGUCGGACUGCUAUUUUGACAUUAGCCAGAGUGACACUAUAUAACAGAAGAAGGUGCCAUGAAGUUCAAGCAAUGAGGAUGGAUCAGUAAAACAACAGAAAAAAAGGUGGAGAACUAACUGCAAAUGAGAUGGUAGGAGACCUAACGGAAUUUGAGAAGCAACUACUUCACACUCAGGAAGUAGUUGAAAUACGAGAAAAGGCUGGCAGAGGUGUUCCAGUUAUCAUUCCUGGAGAUGUCAAUGCUGCAUUGCAGAUCCUUUCAAAUACAGAUACAAGGAAAGCAGUUGGGAUUCAACCAAGCAAUGUGUACCUUUUUGCAAAUGCCCGUAAGUUUAAAGGGACAAUUCCACUUUCGCUGUUUAAAAAAAAUAAAUUGCCUUAUUCUAAGUUCUAAAUAUGUUAGUGUCCUAGUCUACCUUUAGUUGAAAUCUUCCCAUUAAAUUCUAUUUUAUUAGUCCAAAGGUUUCAAAAAUAUUUCAUGGAAAUUUAAUGUAGU